GCAAGCAGAUUUUUGCACCAACAAAUACCUAACUUGCAACCCAAGCCACUUUCUGUUAAUCAUAAUCUGAAGAUAUGUCAUCAAGAAAAUUUAGUGUGACCAUCAUCGAUUGGACUUUAUCCAACCAUCCAUCAUGGCUAGAUGUACCCAUCAACUAGGUAAAAUCAGUAUAUGCAUAAUAAUGAGCUUCACAAGGUCUAACUGAAGAUGUUAAAUUUAGCACUUGUUGGAAGGCAACCUAAUUUCUUACAUUUUUUUUUUCUUUUCAAUUUAUUUAGGACCUACUUCAAGGUUAUGGAAGCUAACUUGGGGGGAGACCUACAUCUGC
rnacentral:lncRNA from 1 species